UGAAUUAUAAUUUCAAUAAUAAAUAAUCAAAUAAAUUAACUGACUAUUUUGAGACAGGGUCAAGCUAUGUAGUUCAGGCUGGCUUGGAAACUGCUGUGUAGACCAGAGUGGCCCAGAACUGCCACUGACUCUUCUACUACAGGUAUGUGCUCCCUUGUGCAGCUUAUGAGGAGAUAUUUACACACCUGAGCUCAGGACAUCAUGUGAAGAAUCUUGAGGCUAUCACGUCCCUACUCACUCAUGCCCUUCCUUCUUCAACAUCCAGUUCUGGGAUUUCUUAUGGUCUUUGAAGUAUCUGGCCUUGAGAUUGUAUUGCUAGCUCCAUCUCCUACUGAGUAUGCAGGAGAUUCAGGGAUUCAGCAUUCACUCCCAAAGAGAGCCAUUGCUUAAUAUUAAUGUUCCCUUGAGAUGCAGCAAUGCUUGCUGCCUUCAGAAUCAAACAAUAAGAAAUUCCACCCUCAAUGGGAGGCAGGGAAGAAUGUUGUGUCCUCACUCUGUGCCUAGCUUGCAUGAAUCUGGAACAGGGAGC